UUUGCCACGUGAAGAACGUGUAAUAUUAGUAACUUAUUCCAGGGCUUUUCCGACAUAAGAUAGCAGCAUAUGUAGGUGGAGCCUUCGACACUACCUGCGAGAAACCCACGGUGAAGAACACUUUAACAUUGCAGCAAAUAGUUGUCCUUCUUUUGUGCCAAACACAGUCAUGUCGAAAACGGCCCUUGUUCUAUGUCUACUUCUCGUCAGCUCACUGGUUGUCAAUACCAGAGGAAGGAACAGAAAGAACAAAGCGGGUACAAAUGUAGCAAGCAGAGAGUAUUCAUUGACAGAGCUGGCGGCAAGGGCAGCGGCAGGAUAUAUCGGUGAUGCUUUGAAGUCGGCAGUCAACGACUACUUUCCAAACAGCUGUUCAGGGCAAGAUUGCCAUGAUAAAAGAAGAAAGAAACAUUCACAUGGACCGUGACUGUGAAUAAAGAUAUCAAAUUAA